CCUACGGGUGGCAGCAGUGGGGGAUAUUGCACAAUGGGGGAAACCCUGAUGCAGCGACGCCGCGUGUGGGAAGACGGUCCUCUGGAUUGUAAACCACUGUCCCCAGGGACGAAGAUGACGGUACCUGGGGAGGAAGCUCCUGCUAACUACGUGCCAGCAGCCGCGGUAAUACGUAGGGAGCGCGGUAUGUCCGGAAUUACUGGGUGUAAAGGGAGCGUAGGCGGGGAUGCAAGUUGGGUGUCAAAACUACCGGCUCAACUGGUAGUCGCAGUCGAAACUGCAGCUCUUGAGUGAAGUAGAGGCAGGCGGAAUUCGUAGUGUAGCGGUGAAAUGCGUAGAUAUUAGGAGGAACACCAGUGGCGAAGGCGGCCUGCUGGGCUUUUACUGACGCUGAGGCUCGAAAGUGUGGGGAGCAAACAGGAUUAGAUACCCGGGUAGUC
rnacentral:rRNA from 1 species